rnacentral:lncRNA from 1 species
CGCAUCGGAGGCCGGCCCGGUGGCCUGACAGGCAGGGCGCGGGCCGCCUCGCCUCGCCCGGCCGCGCCUCCGCUCGGGCCGCCGCUACGGCCGAGCGCUCGGGGGCGGCGCCGGCGGGCGGGCGGGCGGGCCGGCGGCGUUCACCGAGGCUCGGCGGCCCCGCAGCCCCGAGGAAGCGCGCGGCCCGAGGCGCCCAGCUCUCCCCGCGGCUCGUCGGGCGGCUCCUCCUCCUUUGUCUGGGUGCGCAGCCCGGAGCACCGCCGGCCUCGCCCCGCCCCGACUCCCGCUACGGCCGCGGCGGGCGGACAGCGGCGGCCCGCAGUGUCCUCAUCGCCUCCCCGCCCUCCGCGCAGCCGACGCGCCCGACCGGGCCCGCCGAGUCACCUCCAGAGGGCCCUCGGGGGCGAUCGGGCGCGCGUGUCCGGCGUGCACAGCGCUGGCCGCCGCCGCCGCCGCCCCUCCAGCCCCGCGGGCCGCCGCCGAGCUCCGGGUCCCAGCAGCCGCGGCUCGCAGCCACGGCCCGGUGCUCGCACUCCCGAGUCUAGGGAGAAGGCCAGCACGGAGCAUGCGCGCCGCUGAGCGGGCCGAGGCGCCGGGUUCUACAGAACCUGGAUCCUGGGAUGCAGUCAUACUAAUUAGCACCAGAAAAGAUCUUCUGGCCCUAAGCUUUUCUGAGUUGAAGAGGCAUGAACUCUGGAAACUUUUUCGCUAGCCCAAAUUUCAUCCCACUAAAGUUGCUGAACAAAUUGCUCCAACAGGCUGUGAACAGUCAUGCACCCAGCCACCAGCAAGGAGGAAGGGAACGGGAGAACUAACUGUAAAAGACAGCUUGUGCCAUAAUUUCAGUUCCAGAAUCGGUAGCUGAGCAUUGUUCUCCCCCACAAAAUACACCAUUUUGUCUCCGCAAAGAAGGGGAGACUUGGAAUACUUAUUUUUUAAUCGAAGUAUCUACUGUGUCAAAAAUCCUCAGGAGCUGCUGAGGUAAAGGCACCGACUGCACAAGGCUAACGACCUGAGUUCCACUCCUGGAACCCACAUGGAGGAGGAAAGAACCAACUGCACAAGAUUGUUCUCUGACCUCUACAUCUAAAAUGUGGCAUGCAUGCCCGCCCCUCCCCCUCACACGCUCCCAUGCAGGCAGGCACAAUAAAGUUUUAAAAGGUCUUCUAAUAAAUGGCCA